rnacentral:rRNA from 1 species
GAUGAACGCUGGCGGCGUACCUAAUACAUGCAAGUCGAGCGAACGGACGAGAAGCUUGCUUCUCUGAUGUUAGCGGCGGACGGGUGAGUAACACGUGGAUAACCUACCUAUAAGACUGGGAUAACUUCGGGAAACCGGAGCUAAUGCCGGAUAAUAUUUUGAACCGCAUGGUUCAAAAGUGAAAGACGGUCUUGCUGUCACUUAUAGAUGGAUCCGCGCUGCAUUAGCUAGUUGGUAAGGUAACGGCUUACCAAGGCAACGAUGCAUAGCCGACCUGAGAGGGUGAUCGGCCACACUGGAACUGAGACACGGUCCAGACUCCUACGGGAGGCAGCAGUAGGGAAUCUUCCGCAAUGGGCGAAAGCCUGACGGAGCAACGCCGCGUGAGUGAUGAAGGUCUUCGGAUCGUAAAACUCUGUUAUUAGGGAAGAACAUAUGUGUAAGUAACUGUGCACAUCUUGACGGUACCUAAUCAGAAAGCCACGGCUAACUACGUG